rnacentral:tRNA from 1 species
GGCCUGUUCGUCUAACGGUUAGGACGUAAGAUUCUCAUUCUUGAAAUAGAGUUCGAUUCUCCUACGGGCUA